rnacentral:rRNA from 1 species
GAUGAACGCUGGCGGCGUGCCUAAUACAUGCAAGUCGAGCGAACGGACGAGAAGCUUGCUUCUCUGAUGUUAGCGGCGGACGGGUGAGUAACACGUGGAUAACCUACCUAUAAGACUGGGAUAACUUCGGGAAACCGUAGCUAAUACCGGAUAAUAUUUUGAACCGCAUGGUUCAAAAGUGAAAGACGGUCUUGCUGUCACUUAUAGCUGGAUCCGCGCUGCAUUAGCUAGUUGGUAAGGUAACGGCUUACCAAGGCAACGAUGCAUAGCCGACCUGAGAGGGUGAUCGGCCACACUGGAACUGAGACACGGUCCAGACUCCUACGGGAGGCAGCAGUCGGGAAUCUUCCGCAAUGGGCGAAAGCCUGACGGAGCAACGCCGCGUGAGUGAUGAAGGUCUUCGGAUCGUAAAACUCUGUUAUUAGGGAAGAACAUAUGUGUAAGUAACUGUGCACAUCUUGACGGUACCUAAUCAGAAAGCCACGGCUAACUACGUG